GUGGGGAAUAUUGGACAAUGGGCGCAAGCCUGAUCCAGCCAUGCCGCGUGAGUGAUGAAGGCCUUAGGGUUGUAAAGCUCUUUCGUCAGGGAAGAUAAUGACGGUACCUGAAGAAGAAGCCCCGGCUAACUUCGUGCCAGCAGCCGCGGUAAUACGAAGGGGGCUAGCGUUGCUCGGAAUCACUGGGCGUAAAGCGCACGUAGGCGGCUUUCUAAGUCAGGGGUGAAAUCCUGGAGCUCAACUCCAGAACUGCCUUUGAUACUGGAGAGCUUGAGUUCGGGAGAGGUGAGUGGAACUGCGAGUGUAGAGGUGAAAUUCGUAGAUAUUCGCAAGAACACCAGUGGCGAAGGCGGCUCACUGGCCCGAUACUGACGCUGAGGUGCGAAAGCGUGGGGAGCAAACAGGAUUAGAAACCCGGGUAGUCC
rnacentral:rRNA from 1 species